CCCACCGGAACCGAAAAUGCCAAAGCCGAUCAAUGUCCGAGUCACCACCAUGGAUGCGGAGCUGGAGUUUGCCAUCCAGCGGGACACCACAGGAAACCAGCUUUUUGAUCAGGUGGUGAGGACGAUCGGCCUGCGGGAGGUGUGGUACUUCGGGCUCCAGUACGUAGAUAACAAAGGAUUUCCCACCUGGUUGAAGCUUGAUAAAAAGGUGUCAGCCCAGAAGGUCAGGAAGGAGAAUCCCCUGCAGUUCAAGUUCAGGGCCAAGUUCUACCCCAAGGACGUGUGUGAGGAGCUCAUCCAGGACAUUACGCAGAAGCUCUUCUUCCUCCAAGUGAAGGAGGGCAUUCUGAGCAGUGAGAUCUACUGCCCGCCGGAGACCGCGGUGCUCCUCGGCUCCUACGCCGCGCAGGCCAAGUUCGGAGACUACGACAAAGACCUGCACAAGCCCGGGUACCUCAGCUCCGAGCGGCUGAUCCCCCAGAGAGUCAUGGACCAGCACAAGCUCACCAGGGACCAGUGGGAGGACCGGGUCCAGGUGUGGCACGCCGAGCACCGCGGGAUGCUCAAAGACAGCGCCAUGCUGGAGUACCUGAAGACCGCCCAGGACCUGGAAAUGUACGGGAUCAGCUAUUUUGAGAUAAAAAAUAAGAGAGGAACAGACCUGUGGCUUGGAGUGGAUGCCCUGGGACUCAAUAUUUACGAGAAAGAUCAUAAGUUGACCCCAAAGAUUGGCUUCCUGUGGGGUGAGAUCAGGAACAUCUCCUUCAAUAAAAAGAAGUUUUUCAUCAAGUUCAUCGACAGGAAGGCGCCUGACUUUGUCUUCUACGCCCCCUGCCUGCGCAUCAACAAGCGGAUCGUGCCGCUCUGCAUGGGGAACCAGGAGCUGUACAUGCGCCGCAGGAAGCCUGACACCAUCGAGGUGCAGCAGAUGAAGGCCCAGGCCCGCGAGGAGAAGCACCUGAGGCAGCUGGAGCGGCAGCAGCUGGAAACGGAGAAGAGGCGAGAGGCCGUGGAGAGGGAGAAGGAGCAGAUGAUGCCGGAGAAGGCCGAGAAAGAGCUCUCGGACCAGAACCAGAGGGCCCUGCGGCUGGAGGAGGAGCGGAAGACGGUGGAUCAGAGAAAGAGCCAGGAGCAGCUGGCCGUGGCGCGCAGGCGCAAGGAGGACGAGGUGGAGGAGUGGCAGCACCAGGCCGAGGAAGCCCAGGAUGACCUGGUGAAGACCCAGGAGGAGCUGCAGCUGGUGAUGACGGCGCCGCCCCCUGUGGACGAGCCAGUGGCCUAUCACGUCCGCGAGAACCUGCAGGAGGAGGGCGCGGAGGAUUCGGGCUACAGCGCCGAGCUGUCCAGCGAGGACAUCCUGGACGACCGCCAGGAGGAGAAGCGGGUCACCGAGGCCGAGAAGAACCUGCAGCAGCAGCUGAUGACUCUGUCCAGCGAGCUGUCCCAGGCCAGAGACGAGAACAAGAGGACCCACAACGACAUCAUCCACAAGGAGAACAGGAGGCAAGGCCGCGACAAGUACAAGACGUUGCGGAUCCGGCAGGGCAACACCAAGCAGCGCAUCGACGCGUUCGAGGCCAUGUGAGGCCGCGGGACUGCAGGGCGGCCCGAGCCUGGGCCCCGCGGUCGCACGCGGACUCUGAAACUCUAUUCGUAGCUCUCUAAUCUAGACCCUCCUCGGACCCAGUUCCUUUAAAGAGAGUAGCUGUUUCAGCGGGAAGAUUCUGGGGCUGG